GCAUAGACACGUUUCGAUUACAGAGGGGACGCAGAUGGUGGAGGAGACCUACGGGCAUUCUGUCACGAGUUUGCAGUAACAAUAGGACGUAUAUUUAUGGCAGCUGGAGUCCGUAGCCUACACGCGCUUGCAUACAAAAUACAGACAUCUGCAUACUAGUAAUUCCUCAUGCCAUCCAAACACUCCUUUGUCCAGUCUUUUUAUUUACUCUCUUUUAACCGCCCAUCAGAGGCAGCUGCUCGCCAUUUACCAGACCUCUGCUCAAUCAACGUGACGCACUCCACAGCACGUCCUCAUUUUAGAGGAGAUCGACGCAUGGAGGAUCGGACAGCUCGAGCGUUUCAUCGCACCCUUACUGACUGACACAGAUGCUGCGAGACUGGUGCAUUGUGGACCGGCGGUCAAAUUUACAUCAUUGCAAAAGUGGCCAAACCCACAGCCCAGCUGGCAGGAUGCAAGUCCCCAUGACGACUGGGGUGCCCUGGUGUCCCUGACGGACUGGUGAAUACAGGAGUAGGGAGAGACAGAUGGGUAUGUGUUCAGUAUAUCCUCAUACUGUGGAGGGGGUUCUUGUAAAGGUUUAACAGCCGUUAUUGAUGGUAAUUCUGUUUUGUGUGCUCCAUUCCUUGAUAUUUUUUUAUUGACUAUUGUUGGUAUUAGUGGGGGCUGCCGUAACAAGUUAUUCAUUUAAAUAAGGUUAGUUCAAGGUAAAACAUGUCAAAUAAGUUAGAAAAAAAGGUUAUUCAGGUCCAUUAGAUACUGUUCCUCAACGCCUAUGAUUCUUGGUGAUUUUGCAGAUUAAUUUAGUAACUCUUCAUAGUAUCUAUUGGCAGUGGUCAAGGCCAAUGGUCCAGUACGUCCUUGGUAGGGUUUUGGGGACAGGUGUUCCAGGGGGUUGCGUUCCACUUUCUGCUGCUCUCUGCUCUGUGUUUAUCUCCAGAUAUAUCCUGAGGAAGAUGCUGGGAAGGUGCCAGCCCCCAGAGCCUAUUUAGAUGAGUCCACAACAUGUCCUGACUGACAAGGCUGUCAACAAAGCUGUUUUUAAACAGUUGUCAACGUGGUUCAUCCUUACCGAACUGGGACGGGAACUGGGACCUAUGGCUUUCACCCACUGAGAAAGGGGCACAACAUUGGCAUUCACUCACUGCUGAUGGGGCACAGCCACACUUCUUUAGUUAUCAAUAUGUGUUAGAAGUGUAUCACCUUGCUGUGAUUAUUUGGAUAUUUUACUUAGCCUACUUAAAAUGGGAUUAUCAUUGGCACAUUGCUGGUUCCCCUUUAACCUUUUACUGCAAUGAGCAAAAUCAGUCAGUGUUUCUUGGUUGUCUUAACCUCUGGGAGAUGUGUAGCGUCCCACCUCGCCAACAGCCAGUGACAGUGCAGGGCGCCAAAUUCAAAACAACAAAUCUCAAAUCAAAAUUCCUCAAAGCAUACAAGUAUUUUACACCAUUUUAAAGAUAAAAUUCUCGAUAAUCCAGCCACAGUGUCGGAUUUCAAAAAUGCUUUACAGCGAAAGUACCACAAACGAUUAUGUUAGGUCACCACCAACUCACAGAAACACAGCCAUUUUUCCAGCCAAAGAGAGGAGUCACAAAAAGCACGAGAAAAUUAAUCACUAACCUUUGAGCUUCAUCAGAUGACACUCCUAGGACUUAAUGUUACACACUACAUGUAUGUUUUGUUCGAUAAAGUGCAUAUUUAUAUUUAAAAAAAUCUAAUUUUACAUUGGCGCGUUACGUUCAGUAGUAAAACAUGUGGUGAUUGUGCAGAGAGCCACAUCUAUUUACAGAAAUACUCAUUAUAAAUGUUGAUGAAAAUACAAGUGUUAUACAUGGAAUUUGAGAUACUUCUCCUUAAUGCAACCGCUGUGUCAGAUUUUUUUUUUAAACGUGAAGGAAAAAGCAAACCAUGCAAUAAUCUGAGUACAGCGUUCAGACAACAAAGCAGCCAAAAAUAUAUCCGCCAUAUUGUGUAGUCAACAUUAGUCAGAAAUGGCAUUAUAAAUAUUCACUUUGAUGAUCUUCAUCAGAAUGCACACCCAGGAAUCCCAGUUCCACGAUAAAUGUUUGAUAUGAUCGAUAAUGUCCAUUUUAUGUCCAAAUAGCUUCUUUUGUUAGCACGCUUGGUAAACAAAUCCAAACGCGCGUUCAGGUCCAGCCGAACGGUGGACAAAAAGUUGUAUUACAUCCCGUAGAAACUUGUCAAACUAAGUAUAGAAUCAAUCUUUAGGAUGUUUUUAUCAUAAAUGUUCCAACCGGAGAACUCCUAUGUCUGUAGAAAAGCAAUAGAACGAGAGCUAACUCUCCCGUGACCGCGACUCGGAGCCUGUGGCACUCUGGCAGACAACUGUCUCAAUCAGCUCUCAUUCACCCCCACUUCACAGUAGAAGCCUGAAACAACGUUCUAAAGACUGUUGACAUCUAGUGGAAGCCUUAGGAAGUGUAAUAUGACCCCAUUUACACUGUAUAGAUUUCCCACUUCCUGGUUGGAUUUUUCUCAGGUUUUCGCCUGCCAUAUGAGUUCUGGUAUACUCACAGACAUCAUUCAAACAGUUUUAGAAACUUCAGUGUUUUCUAUCCAAUACUACUAAUAAUAUGCAUAUAUUAGCAUCUGGGCCAGAGUAGCAGGCAGUUUACUCUGGGCACCUUAUUCAUCCAAGCUACUCAAUACUGCCCCCCCCCUGUCACCAAGAAGUUAAACAAAUCUACUAUGAAACAAGAGUAUACACCUCACACACAUGGUUAUGGGCUUUAAAAAAAUACCUGUACCAUAUUAGAAAUACAUUUGAAAUGUAUUCAAUUUUGAGUUUGCAUCCCAAUAUUACAGUUUAUAUACAUCAAAGAAGACAAACAUUACAAAACCAUAGAAACACAGAAUUUUCAGCGGGUUUUUGAAAUAAUGUUUAAUGAUAAAAGAUAUGAAUAACAUUCCACCCAUGAGUCCAUUUAGAUGGAGAUUUGGUCAUUUGACUGCAGGAAAGGGCUACUUGUAGUCUUUUAUGCCACAUUGCUCAGGACUUUAUUGGAUAGGACCACAUUUCAUGCCAUAAGAGAGACCCAUAAGGGGUGGGGUUGUAGUGUUGUGUGUCUGACACUUUGGUGCUUUGCAUUUCCUUCCCUGAAAUACUGUUUAACUGAGGGAUGCUUUCUCUCCCCUCCUUUGUAAAAUAACUCUAACACGUUCUGAUCCCCUUCCACACUGUUCAGCUGAUCAAAGCACUGACACUGCAGUUGACUAACACCUCUCUCUGAUGCCUGCUUCUCCUCAUGCUGUCAGCACUGUCCUUUCUCUUCUCUGUAACCUUGGCAACACUAACACCUUACUCACCUCCGAUCUCUGACGUCUAACAUGACUAACAAGAUUGAGUCUGCUGAGAUGGCCUUGCUGUUAAUUUCAAUGAUGUGCUCCUAACCAAGCUAGCUAGCAGGGAGCAUGCCCAUGACAAGCCUGUGCGGAUGGUUUGGUAACAUUAGUCUACCCUAACAUUACAGGAGUGUUGAGGAUGUUAGAUUUGUCAGUGUGUGUAGCUGGGUUGGGGGUAUCUCUCAAUCUUACCACCCUAGUUUUUAGAUGGUUUCCCGAGGCCUGGUUUGUCUUGUGAUUGCUGCAUGUACUGGUAACUCUGAGUAACCUUAGCUGGAGUCGUAAAGAACUAACCAACACUGGGGUAAUCCUGGUUUACUAACCUGGACUAACAGUCUAACAUUCACUAAUCAACCAAACUGAAACCCAAGCACUGGAGAAGUGCCUUGUCUGACUCUCCCUGGUUAAAACCAUCCUUAACCUAAUGGUCUGUUAAAACCACUGUGUGUGUGGGUGUACAUUGUGUGUUUAAGAGUGGGGCUGUUACUGUCAUUAAUAUUCUUACACUCUGAAACCAAACCCCCAACUGCCAACAGCUCUCUUGUCAUUCCUUAAUAAAUACACUAACAAUAAAACUCUAAUACCUAACAGUACUAACGUCUGCUAACAGACCUAUUGUUACUAAUACUCAACUGUACUAUGGAUGAUGUUGGCUGGACUUGUAAUUUCUAACACACUCACUAACCCUUUGCUUUGUGCCCUGAGUCUGAGACAGUCCUCUCACAUUUUCCUGAAACCCUUCUCCGCCAGACACAGAUCACCCAAAAUCAUAUACAAGAACUAUGUAUUUAUCAAUCUGUUAUAACUUAACCGUUAUAACCUAUAAACUUUACUAUUUAUAUUUUUGACAACUUUUACAUUCCUAAAGAAAAUAAUGUACUUUUUACUCUUUACAUUUUCCCUGACACCCAAAAGUGCUUGUUGCAUUUUGAAUGCUUAGCAGGACAGGAGAAUUGUCUAUUUCACAAACUUAUCAAAAGAACAUCCCUACUGUCUCUGAUCUGGCGGACUCACUAAACACAUGCUUCAUUAGUAAAUUAUGUCUGAGGGUUGUAGUGUGCCCCUGGCGAUCUGUAAAUUUAAAAAACAAGACAAUUGUGCCGUCUGGAAUUUUACAAUAUUUUUAUUUUACUUUUGAUAAAGUACAUUUAAAAACAAAUACUUUUAGACUUUUACUCAAGUAGUAUUUUACUAGUUGACUUUCAUUUCUACUUGUCAUUUCUUUUAAGGUAUCUUUAGUUUUACUCAAGUAUGAACAUUUUGUGCUUUUCUUCAUCAUUGCCCCAUAUCUCAGUUUGUGCUAACUAUGAGUGAGAUGCCUACAUGCCACGUAUAGAGCAAAUAUUGUCUUCCCUACAGAUUAUAAAAAAAGAACAGAUGCUCUGAACUAUCUGAUCAGACUCCCAGUUCUACCUACCUACCUACCUACAGGUUAUGGAACAUUUGCUAUUUUUGCCCAGCAGGUUUCCUCAAGGAGAAAUCCUCCAUUUCUAUGAGCCUCUCCCGAGUCCAAACAUGAGUUUGCAAAGAUGGGUCAAGAUUGUAAGUACCAAUUGGAUGUCACGAAAUUGUGGAGAAAAAGGGGUAAAAAGUACAAACAAAUACUACAAAAAACCUCAUAGUAAAUACUAGAGCAAUAUCUGUAAAAACUACAGUAAUUACUAUAGUAUAUGCUAUAGUUUUUACUAUAGUAAUAUUUUCAGUAUUUAUACUGUAGUAAGCUUUACUACAGUAUACUAGAGUUGUCCACAAAAACACUACAGUGAAACCUAUAGUAUACUUAUGCAAAAACUACAGUGAAUACUAUAGUAUAUUAGUCAUGUCCGCAAAAACACUACAGUGAAAACUAUAAUAUACUACUUGUAAAACACUACACUGAAUACGAUAGUAUAUAAAUAUAGUAAUACUACAGUAUUUAGAGCAUAGUAUUUUUUUCAUAUGUGACUCUUUUAAUCCUGUCACCCACUCCACCCUGCCCCUUGGUGAGAUCAAACAGCAUCUAGUAGGCCAUGCAGUAUAUUGUCUUUACUUCCUGAGUCAUCAUGAGGAUAGACAUCCUUGUGUCCUUGAUCAUAUGACAUUUUACUAACCUCCUGAAAUGGAGUGAGAACACUAACUAUUGGGCGAUCCCACGCCAGUGGGAGCAGAAAAUAUUUUUGUUAUCUCAGAUUGUUCUUUCAAUUCUAACAUAGAAACUUCAUUGGGAGGAAGGAUGUUUGAAAUGCUUUUAUUUGUAUCACAAACUGUUUGAGAGAAUCAUGAUGAAAGUAGCCAUUUUAAGUAAGAAACAAAAAGGAAAUAGUCAAACAAAAUAACAAAACUAUAUACAAGGAGUACUGGUACCGAGUCAAUUUGCAGGGAUACGAGGAAAUUGAGGCAAUAUGUACAUGUACAGUUGAAGUCGGAAGUUUACAUACACCUUAGCCAAAUACAUUUAAACUCAGUUUUUCACAAUUGCUGACAUUUAAUCCUAGUAACAAUUCCCUGUCUUAGGUCAGUUAGGAUCACCACUUUAUUUUAAGAAUGUGAAAUGUCAGAAUAAUAGUAGAGAAUUUAUUUAAUCUUUUAUUUCUUUCAUCACAUUCCCAGUGGGUCAGAAGUUUACAUGCACUCAAUUAGUAUUUGGUAGCAUUGCCUUUAAAUUGUUUAACUUGGGUUGCCUUCCACAAGCUUCUCACAAUAAGUUGGGUGAAUUGUGGCCCAUUCCUCCUGACAGAGCUGUUGUAACUGAGUCAGGUUUGUAGGCCUCCUUGCUCGCACACGCUUUUUCAGUUCUGCCCACACAUUUUCUAUAGGAUUGAGGUCAGGGCUUUGUGAUGGACACUCCAAUACCUCAACUUUGUUGUCCUUAAUUAAGCCAUUUUUUUUUGUGAAGUGCACCAGUCCCUCCUGCAGCAAAGCACCCCACAACAUGAUGCUGUUACCCCCAUGCUUCACGGUUGGGACGGUGUUCUUCGGCUUGCAAGCCUCCCCCUUUUUCCUCCAAACAUUACGAUGGACAUUAUGGCCGAACAGUUCCAUUUUUGUUUCAUCAGACCGGAGGACAUUUCUCCAAAAAAGUACGAUCUUUGUCCCCAUGUACAGUUGCAAACCGUAGUCUGGCUUUUUUAUGGCGGUUUUGGAGCAGUUGCUUCUUCCUUGCUGAGCAGCCUUUCAGGUUAUGUUGAUAUAGGACUCCUUUUACUGUGGAUAUAGAUACUUUUGUACCGGUUUCCACCAGCAUCCUCACAAGGUCCUUUGCUGUUGUUCUGGAAUUGAUUUGCACUUUUUGCACCAAAUUACAUUCAUCUCUAGGAGACAGAACGCAUCUCCUUCCUGAGCGGAUAUGACGGCUACGUGGUCCCAUGGUGUUUAUACUUGCGUACUAUUGUUUGUACAGAUGAACGUAGUACCUUCAGGCAUUUGGAAAUUGCUACCAAGGAUGAACCAGACUUGUGGAGGUCUACACAUUUUUUUCCUGAGGUCUUGGCUGAUUUCUUUAGAUUUUCCCAUGAUGUCAAGCAAAGAGGCACUGAGUUUGAAGGUAGGCCUUGAAAUACAUCCACAGGUACACCUCCAAUUGACUCAAAUGAUGUCAUUUAGCCUAUCAGAAGCUUCUAAAGCCAUGACAUCAUUUUCUGGAAUCUUCCAAGCUGUUUAAAGGCAAAGUCAACUUAGUGUAUGUAAACUUCUGACCCACUGGAAUUGUGAUACAGUGAAAUAAUCUGUAAACAAUUGUUGGAAAAAAUGACUUGCGUCAUGCACAAAGUAGAUGUCCUAACUGACUUGCCAAAACUAUAGUUUGUUGACAAGAAAUUUGUGGAGUGGUUGAAAAACAAGUUUUAAUGACUCCAACCUAAUUUUACUUCCGACUUCAACUGUAGGUAGGGGUUAAACCUGACUAGACAAUCAGGAUGGAUAAUAAACAGAGUAGCAGCAGCGUAUGUGAUAGUGUGAGUGUGACGUCAAUGUGUGUGGGUGGAGUCCAGUGAGUCUGCAUAGUGCCGGUGCAAGAGAGUCAGUACAAAUAAAAAGGGGCUCAAUGCAAAUAGUCAGGGUUGACAUUUUAUUAACUGUUCAGCAGUCUUAUGGCUUAGGGGUAGGAGCUGUUCAGGAGCCUUUUGGUCCCAGACUUGGCGCUCCGGUACCACUUGCUGUGCGUUAGCAGAGAGAACAGUCUAUGACUUGGGUAGCUGGAGUCUGGCUUAUUUUUAGACAUUGUAACAAUAUACUCUUCAAACCAUGUCGAAUUUCCAGAGUGGGCUCUUAUCAUACUUUUAAUGAUAUGACCCAUUUUUAUACAUAGAUAUUGACAUAGUUCACUAACCAAUUCCAGUCCUCCUUUAGGUCACCGGCAGAGUUCCCUUUGAAAUAUUUUGUCCAUUCACUGUUUUGGUGAUGCUCAAAUUGAUCAUACCUUCAGAAUUAGCGGAGAGCCUACUCUGGAAAUUUGAUUUACUUGUAGAGCAAGGUUCCCCAACUGGUGGCCCAUGGGCCGAAUUAGGCUCACUGGUGGUUUUAUUUGGCUCCCCAACUUUUUUUGUUUAUUGGAAUUUUCAUUGUUGGACAUAAAAUACUGCAAAAACACUAGGAAAUCAUCUCCAAGUGAGUUUUAAUUUAGGAAAUUCCCACACGAGAGACAGGUAAUCAUAUACAAAUUUAAGCAAGGUUUGAAAUGAUUGUUUGUCAUAUUAUAUCCGUUUAGGUUUCUUACGGUAAUUUUGCAGUCUACAAAUGAUUUGUAAUUAUGUUCCGACCAUCCGCUCAAGUAAAAUCAGCCCACAGCUGAAUCUAGUUGAUGAUUCCUGUUGUAAAGUAUAUGCUUCCAAACAAUGUCUUAAAAUGAAACAAAUUCUAAAAAGGUAGUUUUGAGAUAUUCAUAUUAAUAGUUGUGAAAGGUUUUAUUUCAGAACCAAGACAUACAUAUUUUACAGUACACUAUAAGAAGAAUAAUGACACCAAGAUAUCUGUCAUGUACUGUUCAAGGGGACUUUAAAAGGGUCUAAAAUAGCUACUUUCAUCAUGAUUUUCAACGGCAACAAAAACUGAUGAUACAAAUGUAAAAACCAUGUCAAACAUCCAUCUUCCAAUUAAGUUUCUGUGAGAAUUGCCAGAACAAUCUGAGAUAUAAAAUAUAUUUUCCGCUGGCAUGGAAUCGCUCUUUUGGACAUGAUAGCUCCCCACAAUCUAACAAACUAACUAACCCACUAAUUAUCUAACUAACUAACCUACUAAUUAUCUAACUAACUAACCCACUAAUUAUCUAUCUAACUAACCUACUAAUUAUCUAACUAACUAACCUACUAAUUAUCUAACCUACUAAUUAUCUAAUUAUCUAACUAACCUACUAAUUAUCUAACAAACAAGCUAAAAUCAUGUGCUCAGAGUUGAGGUUUUGGUUCAACAAACCAUCACCUCACUUUGGUGUGUGUGUGUCCGUGUGCAUGUGUGGGCAUGCGUGUGUGUGUGCCUGCAUGUGUGUACAUUUAUUCUCAAACUGUGUGCAUGACGAGGUGAUUUUGUCUGAGUGUUAAUGAGUAUGUUUAUCUAUCAGUUUUCUGCUGAGUAACAUUAUGGCAUAGCAAUGUUGUCCUCAUCCCCUAUUUACAAGUGAUUUAGCCUAAAAAUGAGGCCGCAUUUUAUGAUAACGAAACAACUGUCAAAGCUUGACUAUCAAAUUGAUCAAGCUACUGUAUGAAGCAGUUUUUCCGAAUAGCUCAGUCAUAGGAGUUAAGGAUGACCAACCUAACUAAUCAGUGACCACCAGUGUGGAAGAGGUCUUACUUCCUUGGCUUCUCUGUCCUUUAUGUACUGCCAUUACUGAAUGCUGGAUUGAUGAAACACAUUCCCCAUGUCCUUUUCACUGUGGAAUAAACUGUCAGACAUUUUGAAAAGCGCCUCUUUGUCUU